UGUUAAAAAUUCCAUCCAUUUAUACAGUUAAAAACUGACUUAGUUGAUAGAAUAAUCAAACAGCUACACGUCCACGUGUACUCUACGUCGACAUGCAGGGAUCAAUUUUUAAGGGUAAAAAUAUGUAAAAAUUUUAACA
rfam:Gossypium arboreum cultivar AKA8401 contig_16658_5, whole genome shotgun sequence.